UGUUUCCUCAGAAGCAAUCUGGGAAGGAAACAAGGCGCACUGUGUCCUCAUUCCUCUGCUUUAUACAGGGUGAUGUAUCACAGAAACACUCCUCCUCCUCCCUCAACUCGACUAGAACAGAAGCCAAAAUAUCAGAUUCAGUGUGAUCACUGUAACAGCGGAGGCAUGGUCAAGCACUGGUUUGUGAAUGGAGAGUGAAGCCAGGGAAGCAUUUUUAUUACACUGGUGCUGAAACCUGGGAUGCUGAAGUGAACUGCCACCAUGGAGUCCUCACCAUUUAAAGAACUCGUCCAUGCCCUUGCUGCCACCCAACAGAACCAGCACCAGGCACGGGUCACUAUUGGCCCUUUUUCAGCUCACUUCAGCCCGACACGGCUCGAGUUUCGACUAUCUCAAAACAGCACGACUCAGCUCGCUUCAGCCCUGCUUAGCCCCUAAAACUCGCACGGUUUUGGAGUGGGGCUGAAGCGAGCCAAACUGAGCUGAGUGAGGCUAGGGGCAUGAGGAGACACUCCCCUGUGCACUGAUUGGUGAGGAGGAGUGUCCUCACAUGCCCCCACACGCCCCGCGAGCAUGCUGGGAUCUGUGAACACCGUAAACCCGGAAGAAGGAGAAUUACGAGAAUUAUGAAGCCUUAUGCGCCUCGCCUCAUCUAUACGCUCUUGCCAGUAUUUGUUGGCGUUGUCACCAACAACAAGCCACAGCACCAAGACCAGCAACACUAACGACUCCAUGUCCUCCAUGUUUAUUGUUUACUAUCCGGGUCGUGAGACUACCGCUUAAAAGGUCACUGAUGUCACUGUUUGCGCCGCCUAACGACAUCACCUGACGUCCACCCACUUUCGCUAACUCCACCCAAUGUGUCCACCCACUUCCAGACAGCACAGUUCAGCGCGGUUGUAGUCGAAAUGCAACUCCAACAGCCCCGCUCAGCUCGACUCAGCCCAACUCAGCACGGCACGACUCAGCCGCGUUGGUAGUGGAAAAGCGGCAUUAUUUCACUCAAAAUCAAUGUUCCUUGUAAAACGUUUGCUUUAUGCUCUGAAAAGGCGUUAGAAACAGGCUGAAUGCGCUCCUACGCUAGGAAAGCGGUUUUCAUGCAGUCGGUGACAGUGUGUUUUCCUACUCUGAACAAGUGCAUAUCACAAUACUAUGUUGAAAACUCGUUUCAGACAUGCUUUUACAGUUAAAAUGACAAAUAUGAUGAAAAUGUGUUAAAAGCUCGAAAACAUGAAAAUCCAUGCUUAGAAAGUGGUUACAUGUCACAUUUGCUCGAAUGCACUCAUUUCACUCAAAAUCAAUGUUCCUUGUCAAACGUUUGCUUUAUGCUCUGAAAAGGCGUUAGAAACAGUCUGAAGGCGCUCCUGCGCUAGGAAAGCUGUUUUCAUGCACUUGGUGACACAGUGUGUUUUCCUACUCUGAACAAGUGCAUAUCACAAUACUAUGUUGAAAACUCGUUUCAGACGUGCUUUUACAGUUAAAAUGACAAAUAUGAUGAAAAUGUGUUAAAAGCUCAAAAACAUGAAAAUCCAUGCUUAGAAAGUGGUUACAUGUUACAUAUGCUCGAAUGCACUUAUGGCCCUUUUCCACUACCCUUUUUCAGCUCACUUCAGCUCGCUUCAGCUCACUUCAGCCCGACACGGCUCGAGUUUCGACUAUCUCAAAACAGCACGACUCGGCUCGCUUCAGCCCUGCUUAGCACCCAAAACUCGCACGGUUUUGGAGUGGGGCUGAAGCGAGCCAAACCGAGCUGAGUGAGGCUAGGGGCGUGAGGAGACACUCCCCUGUGCACUGAUUGGUGAGGAGGAGUGUCCUCACACGCCCCGCGAGCAUGCUGGGAUCUGUAAACACCGUAAACCCGGAAGAAGGAGAAUUACGAAUUACGAGAAUUAUGAAGCCUUAUGCGCCUCGCCUCAUCUAUACGCUCUUGCCAGUAUUUGUUGGCGUUGUCGGUGACAACAAGCCACAGCACCAAGACCAGCAACACUAACGACUCCAUGUCCUCCAUGUUUAUUGUUUACUAUCCGGGUCGUGAGACUACCGCUUAAAAGGUCACUGAUGUCACUGUUUGCGCCGCCUAAUGACAUCACCUGACGUCCACCCACUUUCGCUAACUCCACCCAAUGUGUCCACCCACUUCCAGCCAGCACGGUUCAGCACGGUUGUAGUCGAAAUGCAACUCCAACAGCCCUGCUCAGCUCGACUCAUCCCAACUCAGCACGGCACGACUCAGCCGUGUUGGUAGUGGAAAAGCGGCAUAUGUGCAGCGAGUAGGAGCGGUGCUUUGAGGCCCUGCUGCAGGCCAAACAGGAGGACCACCAGGCACUCCUGCAUCUCAUCGUACCCGCAGGGGACCCAGCCACAGAGUCAGCGGGCUUCCCCCAUGUCACCCUGAUAAAAAUGGGGCUGCCCGAUGAUGCUGGUGGUGGUUUGGGGCAGAAGAUCACACUGUCGAGGGGGUCAUCAUCGCAGUCGCACUGGAGCACUUCAUAGCUCUGCUACCAAGAGUGCCACCAUGUCCAGUGCCACUGCAAAGUGUCACCGGAUCACGCAAUUGAGCUGGCUCAAGAUCAUAUGGCAGUGGUUCCAGUGGCAGGUAGACAUCCUGUCUCUUCUCUCUCUCGUCCUGCCCCUCCUCCUGUUUUGCCCUUUCCUCCCUUCCCCUCCAUAUACCACAGAAGUGGGGGCUGACUCUCCUACAGCCAGCUCCCCAAGCCCAUGGUUUCUCUCCACCCUCCUCCACUUGUGUUUCUGUUUCUUCCCCCCCCCCAGGUGAAUGAUCCUCAUGGCACCAGUGCAGAGGUGAGGCCUGGGCUGGUGUGCUGGCAUUGACCAGUGCCUUGCAGUGGAGGUGGGGGCAGUGGUCCAGAUCCUUGACGCACCAGAGACUGCCCCCAAACAAGCUGGAACAUACCACAUACCCAUAAGUAUCCAAGGGGGUACAUAUCAUGCUUUGGUGGAUUCAGACUGUAAUAAUACAUCAAUCCACCAAAGGUUGGUUAAAUAUGAGGCAUUGGAUACAGCACAUUUUGUGAAGGUUUGUUUGUGCAUGGGGAUAUUCACAAGUGCCCGCAGAUACUGGUAAAACAUCCAAAUUUAGGGAAUAGAUUAUAGUGUUGAGGCAGCAGUUAGCCCACGCCUCACCCACCCAUGAUUUCUGGGGACAGAUUUGCCAGGGUUUAGGAGCUUAAAAGAAGGAGUGGUGGAGGGUAGGUCCUGCAGUAGCACGUUCUGAGGGGAUUGCAAUGUGACUGUGUGGCGAAGCCGUCCCAGAGCCGUCUAUGUCAGCCAUGCAUCAUAGCAACAUGGAGAACAGGGAGCGCACCGCCACUUCUCUUUCUCUCUGGGAUUCCCAAGCAGAUUUUCCUCUGGAGCAGGUGCAAGAUGUGACUCUGGCACGCAUUUGACCAAGUGAAAGUUGCCAGUGGUCAGAAUCUUCCAAACAUUGCACUCUCCCACCUGUACUUUUCCCUUAUUAGGGACAGGCUGUAUCAAAUGACUUAGGACACUCAGACUGGAGAGCAGAUAAUGCACUUGUGAAUACAAAAAAGCUGCAGGGAACCUCUAGUCCACAUGGCUCAUUAUAAUCCAAUGGCUGGACAUUUAGGGAAAGACAAAACACUAACCCAAUUACUGGCUGAGGAUUCAUGGGGGAUGUCUGCAGGUGGUAUGCAGCAUGUCACAAGUGCCAACUUCUAAAUCCAACGGCUUCUCCUAAAGCACCAUUGUGCCCGCUUCCCCUAAUUGAGACCCCCUUUGAAAGAAUUGGGAUGGGUCUUGUUGGGCCACUAGUUCAGACUGCACAAGGGCAUCACUUUAUUUUAGUCCUUGUGGACUAUGCAAUGCAGUACCCUGAAGCAGUGCUAUGGCAUAACGUUUCUGCAUGCAGUAUUGCAGAGGCUACCUCAAAAGUAGUCAAACAUUUAUACAAAUUAAUUUACCUGUAAAAGUCCCUUUCUUACAUAAAAUCAAUUCCAACACCGAGUGUGUUUGGACUGCACUGAAUUCUUAAACUUCCACCAUUAAUUGUUAUACUCUGUCCCACUACAAGGGACCAACCCUAGAACCAUCCCAAAACAAAAUGGCGGCUCUUCUUAAAAAUCAUUGUACAAUGACUUUUUUCUUUGUUUGAACACAGACUUCUCAUCGGCUUCCCGAUGCAAGCUUCUCAUUGGCUAAAGCAUAUCUUCCACUGUCUUUAAAAUAAAACAGAUCUGCUCAUAUUUUCCACCAUGUGACAAGGUUUGAAUGACACAAUGGCGAUUUUGUGUUUACCACUGUAGAAAUAGUUAAGAUGGGUGGAGCACAGAAGCAUGGCAGGCCAGAACUGAGUUUGCAAAAACCCUUUUUAUUUUAGCUUUUCAGCUUUUAAUUAUUCACACACACACACACACACGCGUGUUCUCGUUCGGGGAGAGCCCCCUUCCUCUGCUCUCCCUCUCCUCUUAUAGGGCGUGGUCACUGGGGAAGACACAAACACAGGUUAAUUCCCAUCAGGUGCAGUGAUUCUGCCACUUACCUUCCCUGACUCCACCCUCCAUUCACAGACUAACGCUUGACCACGCCCCCGCUGCCACAUACCCCCACCGCCCGACUCGGGCUGGGGAGCCGUCCAGCCUGCAGCGAACUCCCCCCCCCCCCCGGAUGGGAGAGGAAAUCCGCCGUGUCCAUCUGCACCCCCGACUUGUGGACCACCUGAACUUGAAUGGCUGGCGUGCCAGAUACCAACAGGUGAUCCGUGCAUUGCAGAGAUGCCAACAACUAUGAAAUUUUCGUAUUUUAUACGAUUUUCUGCCACUUUUGCACCACUAUGACCAGUUAAUUCAAAACUACGAAUUUCACAGUGAUCGGAAAAAAAAUCAGUUCGUUCCGCAUUUUUGUUUGGUACGUUGAACUCCGCCAUGAUCGAAGAAAAUUCAGUCCGUUCCGCAUUUUCAGAAGGAUUAAAUCUGCGGGAAUCAUUCAAAGCUUUCGUGAUACGUCGUCGCUGAUUGGUUGAUAUUCGCUUCCGGGUUUGAACUCGACCAAUCAAAAUUCGUGAUGGUGCCGUCCGACAAUAGACCCCUUCGCAGUAAACGUCAUUCAUACAUAAGAGGAAAUUGCGCGCGCAGCCUGGACUAAAGACUCAGCGACGGUCAGACUGAAUUUUGGCGACGGUAGAGACGAGAAGAAAUAUUUGGAAGAAAUGCCUAGUUGUGUUGUCGGGUGUCAGAAUCGUAGCAGUGAUGGGGUUAAAAUGUACAGAAUUCCAGCAGGAUCUCACCCAUUCCAAAAAAAUCACCGACGUCUAUGGCUACAAGCCAUCAAACGUGUAGACUGGGAUGAAAGCACCAUCAAAAAUGCGCAGGUUUGCAGCGCCCACUUCAUCACAGGUAAGAUCAGUACGCCCGUAUAAUAAUUCAAACGGGGAGAACCCUGUGGAGGCUUGUGGGACCUCCCGCACUGCGAAUAACAGGGGCUCGAGCCAUUUAUCCCAGCUGCGUGCGUCCUCGCUUACAAAUUUUCAAAUUGUUCUUGAGGGUGCGGUUGAACCGUUCAACUAAGCCAUCCGUUUGUGGCUGAUAAAUGCUGGUGUGGAUAGGCUUAAUUCCCAGUAACCCGUACGGUUCGCGCAGUGUGUGUGACAUAAACGUAGUGCCUUGAUCAGUCAGAAUCUCUUUGGGGAUUCCGACUAGGGAGAUGACGCGGAAGAGUGCUUCUGCAAUACUGCAUGCUGAGACAUUGUGAAGAGGCACUGCUUCUGGAUAUCGCGUUGCAUAGUCCACCAGAACUAAAAGCGAUUUCCUCGUGUUGACCGAUCUAAUGGCCCGACGAGAUCCAUCCCAAUUCUUUCAAGUGGGGUCUCGAUUAAUGGCAGAGGGCGCAAAAGCGCUUUUGGAAUGGCCCCUGGAUUUACUAACUGCCAUUCGCGGCACGCUGUACAACACCUACAGACAUCGCCGCGAAUCCCUGGCCAAUAGAACCGGGCCAUUAUUCAGGCUAGUGUCUUAUCCUGCCCCAAGUGGCCGGCCGUGGGAUUAAAGUGAGCCGCCUGGAAUAUAAAUUCCCGGUGGCUCUUUGAGAUCAAAAGCUGUGUUAUCGGUUCCUUAGACUGGGUGUUCUGCGUCAUUCGGUAUAAUCUAUCCUUAAUAAUGGAGAAAUAGGGGAAGGAUGGGGUGGUGUUUGGCUGGAACGUUUGACCAUCGAUUACUCUCACUUGGUCAAACGCAUGCCGCAGAGUCUCGUCUCGCGACUGCUCUGACGGGAAAUCCGCGAGGGAUUACCUGAGAGAGGGAGGAGGAGCCUGCUGCCCCUCGCUCUGACGCGGUGAUGACGUAGAUGGCUCUGUGACAGCUGCUCCCGCCAAAGCCACACCGGGACCUCCCCCCACUAAAUUAUGGCAGGCCCCACUCUUCACUAAAUGUGUCAUUAAUUCCCCGAAUCCUGGCCAAUCAGUCCCCAAAAUUAUCAAGUGGGUAAGGUGAGGAUUAACCGCCGCCUUUACACUAAAUUUCUCUCCUCGAAAUAAAACGUGGACCGACACGAAAGGGUAGUUGCGAACAUCCCUGUGCACACACAACACCUUCACCAAUUGUGCUCUUCCCAAUGCCUCGUCUUGUCUGAUUACAGCCAGAGUCCACCAAAGCCUGAUGCGUAUCCCCUUGGAUACUCACCGGUAUGCGAUACACUCCGGCCCGAUCGAGGGCAGUCCCUGGCGCAUCGGGGAUCCAGACCACCGUGCCCACCUCCAUCGCUGAGCACUGAUGCUGGAGGUGCCCUGGCUCCCCGCAGCGCCAGCAUACUGGCCCAGGCUUUCCCUCCUGCACCGGUGUUCCGGAGCUCACUCACCUGAGGGGGGGAGACGCGGAAGUAGGAAACGGUAGGGCAUCGCGGGUGCGGCGGGCCGGCUGGGGUGGAGCCGGCCCCCGCCUCCACGGUGGAGGAAUGGGGCGAGGACGAGGAACAGAAGGGGGGGAGAGAGAGAGAGAGAGAAGAGGAGAUAUGCUGUCCUGCUGUCGGAACAGCCGCCGUAUGGUCCUCCGCCAGCUCGAUGGCCUGAUCCAGUGACGCCAGGCGAUGGCACUGGACCCACUCCACUGUUCCUUCCGGAAGUCAGGCGAUGAAUUGUUCCAGCGCCACCAGGUCGAUGAUUCCCUCGGCAUCGCGGUUGUCGGCCCUCAGCCACUGCUGGCAGGCGUCCCGGAGUUGCUGGCCAAACGUGAACGGCCGGCUGACCUACUCCAGGCGCAGUGCGUGGAAUCGCUGGUGCUGCUGCUCCGGGGUGUGCCCCACACGUUGGAGGACGGCCCCUCAGAGGUCGGCAUAGAUCAGCAGGCUGUUCUCUUCUGCACUCUGUCCCAGGUUUCAGAUAUUUUGAGGAGAAAGCGAGAAGGAUAAAUAUAGCUAGUGAACAGAGACAUACUGAGGAGGAGUUCCGCCUUGCCAAGAACUACACGUCACUGCCAAAAAAGAAUAUACAACUCAUCCACCCAAAGAAAUUACAAGAACAUUUCUCUGACCACCUUGGCCUACAGCCAAUCCAGCAGCAGCCUGAGUUGUUACACCCUGAAGAGUUUCCACACAUACUGCCUCCAGAAAACCUAGAGCCCAUAGACGAACAACCCCCAGACGCACCAGAAGUGGAACGCUGCUUGCAGAAACUCAAUAAUGGUAAAUGCCAGGGUACGGAUGGUAUAUAUGCUGAGCAGCUGAAGUACUCCAAUUCCACACGCAUUCUUGAAUAUUUCAUAGUCCUGUUGGGUGCCAUAUGGACAUGCCUAAAGAUUCCAGUCACCUGACUUAUUUCAGCAAUUACCUGUCUACACAAGAAGGGCUCCAAAAGUGUGGCUGAAAAUUACCGUGGACUGUCGAUAAUUGCAACAAUGUCUAAAGUAUUGUCAGUUAUUGUGGUGGAGAGGCUAAGAUUAGUUUACGAGCUAAUUCUAUUGGAUACACAAUUUGGCUUCAGGCGAAAUAGAUCAACAUGUGAUGCUAUAUUCAUUACUAGACACAUUCUUGAGAAGGAAAAACAACCAUUAUUCCUAUGUUUUAUUGACCUGAAAGCUGCAUAUGAUUGGGUUCCACGGGACGCACUUUUCCGGGUGCUAGAAAUCCGACUCUCCUGCCCUAAACUGGUGUCAAUCCUGAAGGCCCUCUACACUGUCUCACAAUGACUGGAUUUUUGUCUGUAAAAUUUUUGACAUGCCUUUGAUUGAAGUUGGCCCCACAUUGACUCCACACUGACCCAGCAAGUAAUACUGGAUCAUUUUCCAGAAAUGACAAAGUAUCUCAUUUGUUUAAUUGGGCUCUCUUUAUCGACUUUUAGGACUCGUGUGAAAAUUUGAUGUUUUACAUCAUAUUUAUGCUGCUUUUCAACUCGUAACUAUACACAGCACAAGGCCUUAUCAAAAUCCAUCAGUACACCAGCUAUGGUUCUCAGUAUACUCAACAUUGCUUAGAAAAUGCACAGAUGCUUCAAUAGCUGCAUCACUGUUUAAGUUGCCUGAUUAGGAAGAGAAUUUAGCUUGUUAAUCUGAGUCUUUAGUUUAUCUCAGCUUAAUGGGAAUAAAAUGUUAAAAGUUGUAAGCAAUUUGUGCUUCUUCUUGUGAUUUUGUAUUCUGGUUGCUGAUAAUUGUAGAUAAUACAAAUUACAUACUUGCUAAUCAGGAAAAGGAAAAAAAAACUAAAAAAAUAAGGUUUAAAUUAGAUUGGUUUUGAAGCUGAUGAGAAAAUAUUCUUCUGAAGUAGAUCUGUGUCUAAUGUGUGACGGAACAUGACAAGUGAUGAAUUAAAUUAUUUUAUUUAAUGUAGACUAUAGAUUUAAAAAUGUUACAAACUUUAAAACUGACAGAUGCACAAAUAUUCACACAAAAAUACAUUAUUAAGUAACCAAUUUGAUAAGAAAAACCCAUCUUUUGUAUUAUGAUCUACAAAAUCGUAUAGAUGUUUGAUAUUGAUGAUAGAUU